rnacentral:rRNA from 1 species
CCUACGGGCGGCAGCAGUGAGGAAUAUUGGUCAAUGGACGAGAGUCUGAACCAGCCAAGUAGCGUGAAGGAUGACUGCCCUAUGGGUUGUAAACUUCUUUUAUAUGGGAAUAAAAUGUUCCACGUGUGGGAUUUUGUAUGUACCAUAUGAAUAAGGAUCGGCUAACUCCGUGCCAGCAGCCGCGGUAAUACGGAGGAUCCGAGCGUUAUCCGGAUUUAUUGGGUUUAAAGGGAGCGUAGGUGGAUUGUUAAGUCAGUUGUGAAAGUUUGCGACUCAACCGUAAAAUUGCAGUUGAAACUGGCAGUCUUGAGUACAGUAGAGGUGGGCGGAAUUCGUGGUGUAGCGGUGAAAUGCUUAGAUAUCACGAAGAACUCCGAUUGCGAAGGCAGUUCACUGGACUGCAACUGACACUGAGGCUCGAAAGUGUGGGUAUCAAACAGGAUUAGAUACCCUUGUAGUC